AUGUCCUUUUUACUCUGCUUCCUUUCCAGAUACACCAACUGCCUGAGAGCAGAUGAUAAGGGGGAAAUCAGAAGACAUUUUCUGGGUGGCUCAGUCAGUUUUCAACAUGAAGAAAGAAAUCUCUUAGUACCAGGAAUCUUUGUUGAGGUAAGUCACGAACAAAUCCAGAGAACCAGAGUGUUCUCUGUCAGGCCCUUCUUCAUGGGCUCCAGCAAGUGAUUGCCAAGGUUUUUUAUGGCCACUCUAGUGAUUUUUUCUUUGUUCUUUAAGUUGACAACACAUUUCUUAAAAGUUGACAUUUUUAGAUCACAGAGAAGGUCACAGGUAAGGAUUGGGAGCAAGUUUGACAUCUGACUCAUUCUGAAAUACCCAUCCCUGCUUCCUCUGGGCUCCCCUACCAUCUUGUUUAUUCCUCUAUUAGUAGCACAUAUUUCAUUCUGUCUUUCAUUAUAUUUGUUAUAAGCCUGCCUCUCCAACUGGAUUAUAAACUCUUUGAGGGUGGAGAGAAUCCAUAUUCAUUUUUAUUCCCCUAUCACAUCUACAUCUAGUACAAGGCCUUCUAGUCCCACAUAUUUAGUAAAUGCACAUCAGAAAUGUGCUACAUACAGAUCUGUAUACGCGUCGCCAAUAUCUCUCUUUAUAAAAUUAGUUAUGUUGUCAUGGAGACAUCAAUGAUUAUGACUUGUAGAUUAGAGGUAGGAAUUGGACAAUAAGUCUUGGUUAUUGACUAGCAGAAUGCAAGAGUGAUAUUUCCACAGUCCCCGUUAUAGCAGAUGGACUACAGCGCUCUAAAAUUUGAUCUGGUAACAUUCAUUAAAAUCUGUGCAUGAACCAGAUGGUAAAGAGUUGUACUGGGGAGAGUGGGCUUUAGAUGUAAUAGAACAAUAAUUUUCUGAUAACUUUUUGUUUCUUUUCAAAUUUUGUGACCUUUCAGAGUUUCCCCCAGCCUUCACUUCACUAUUUCACAUAAUCCGUAUAGAAUGAAAGGGCACCGUAGCCUCCCUGGUUUGAAUCUUGGCUUUGUCACUUACUAGCCCUGAUAUCGCCCUGUGCUUCCAUUUAUUUUUGUAUAAUAGGGAUGAUAAAAAUGUUAUUUAAACCAUGAUUAAUUGAACCAUAGCAGAGUGUCUGACACAUAAU
rnacentral:lncRNA from 12 species